GACGAACGCUGGCGGCGUGCUUAACACAUGCAAGUCGAACGGAAAGGCCUCUUUCGGGGGGUACUCGAGUGGCGAACGGGUGAGUAACACGUGAGUAACCUGCCCUUGACUUUGGGAUAACUUCAGGAAACUGGGGCUAAUACCGGAUAGGAGCUCCUGCUGCAUGGUGGGGGUUGGAAAGUUUCGGCGGUUGGGGAUGGACUCGCGGCUUAUCAGCUUGUUGGUGGGGUAGUGGCUUACCAAGGCUUUGACGGGUAGCCGGCCUGAGAGGGUGACCGGCCACAUUGGGACUGAGAUAAGGCCCAGACUCCUACGGGAGGCAGCAGGGGGGAAUAUUGCACAAUGGGUGGAAGCCUGAUGCAGCAACGCCGUGUGCGGGAUGACGGCCUUCGGGUUGUAAAACGGUUUCGCUCAUGACGAAGCUUUGUGUGACGGUAGUGGGUAAAGAAGCACCGGCUAACUACGUG
rnacentral:rRNA from 1 species